rnacentral:lncRNA from 10 species
AUUCAGGCUGCCCCUGCUGAAUUUUAGAGAGCGUCAAAACUUAUUGGUUAAAGGGAUGCCUUUAUGAGUAAAACAUGAGAAAUAUUCACUUACUAGGUAAGCAAUUUGUAAGGACUGGAAGUAGAAAUUAAGCAACCAAGACAAGAAGGCUGUCCUAUCAGUUUCAAGAACAACUAAGAGGAUGUUAAAGCAGAGGGAGCCCCUGCAUGACUUAAGAAAACCGAAGGCAGGCAGAACAGAGACUUUUCAGGGUGCGAAGUUACGCAUGGUGCCCUCUACUGGAGUCACUGGUAAAGAGUUUUGAUUUCAAAAAGAAAUUGACGUAGAAUUUGUUCUUGUUCCAUUGUAUUGGUGAAGAAACUGAAGUUCAAAGUAAUUGGCAGAACAUACUACUUUGGGCAGUAUGGGAGUAGAGGCCUAUGGACGACCAGCAACAGGCUAGGGAUAAGAGUGGAGAUCUGAAUACAAGAAACUAGUAUUCAGGAUACGGGUCCUGGUUGUGAUUCUCUCCUAAUCCUUCGUGUGACUGGAGUUAUGUCGUGUGACUCUCAUAAACAAUGGGUUUUCCUUCUUUGUACGUAAUAGUUGGCAGAAGUGGUUACGUCCUUGCCACAAGGAAAAAGUCUCAUGAGAUGAUUAAUCUAAAACUUAUUUUAGAAAUAUAAAGGACUUUAUGAAUUCAAGGCAGUAUAUUAAGAAAAUAUCCCCUCAAACAAUGAACCAAUGAGACUGGCAAAGAUCUUGAUUUUCCUGAUUUUCAUUUAGAUUCUUAACAUUUGAGUCCAUUGAUAUAUUCGAAGCUCUACCCUUCUGGAAAAUAUCAUAAGAUUUGAAAAAUAUAGCUGCAAAGAGCAAAAGAAGAUUUGCGUCUCAAUAGAAAAGAUCUACAGAUUGAAUAUUGCAUAGAAAACAAUUUAUUCACCUUACAAAGAUAAAAGGAUGAAAACGCCCUGAGCAGUAAUAAAACUUCGCCAUUUUGGGGAGGGCCUCAAGAGGCUAUCUUAUCAAUCUUGGUCGUUGGAAAAGUAUCUGUAAUCUCAAAGAAAACUUUAAAUACUGUCCAAGGAAAAUAUCCAAAUACAUCUUAAAAUGCCACUGUUUUUUAUUCUUUUGCCUUCAGUGAAAGUAUCUUUGCCCAUCCUUUCACAUGGGAAAAAUCCAUUUAGAAUUAGAAUGUUAUUGUUUACAGAUUUGUUCUACAUUAUUAACAUAACCUAAUAAAAUAUCCUAACAACUAGUUAAAACAUAAUUAUAAUGUACUAAACAUCUUAGGUUGCUUUGUAGAAAAAAUCUCUCUCAUAUAUUUGGAAUAUUUGAGCUUAUUUAAUUAAGUUUAAACCCAUACAGUUUUAUUUCAGAAAACCUAUCUCACUGAGUAGUGCUGAUAAAUUAAUAGGCAAUUAUUUGGCUAUUAUGUCUACACAACUUUUCGGAUCAUUAAAUGAAACUAAAUCAUAAAGAUUUAAAUGGAAAAGAGAAUGACAUGACAACCAAAGAAAAAAAAAAAACAACAAGAAGAGUAAAGGAAAGUGGUUGAAGAAAGAGAGAAAUGGGGAAGUAGUUGGUAAGCACCUGAGGAAGGAAAGAAGGCAGACUGACGGAGAAAUGGAGUGAGUGAACCUCUCUAACCAUAGGUAUUUUUCUUCAUAGGAUUUAAUCUACUCAAUGAACAAUUUUGACCGCUCUGGAAAUAAACAAAUGCUAUCCUAACUCCUCUUUGCUGUAGCUUAAUCUGCCUGAGAAGAGAGUAAACAGGAAAUGGUCUGGGAGUCCCCAGAUACUUUUCCCCAGUUUUGAGGUUGACAUCUGCAGUGCAAUGAAGGCAUUGCAGACACCCUCAGUAGAAAGUAGGGUGUAACAGUACAUUGAUAGCAAUUUUUUGACACUUACAAAACGUUAGUAUACAUAGAAAUGCUGACUCCCACUAAAGAGCUAGCAGUGGUCCAGUUUUGUUACUUUUUGGAACUUAAUGAUAAAAAAAAAAAAACAGGUGUUUUUUCUAUGGCUUGACAGGUCUUUAUCAAUAGGUCACUGGGCAAGGACCAUGUCCAUUGAGGUACUGUGAAAGAUAUAUAUUUACAUACAUCUCAAUUGUGGCAAUGUUUUUCUGAUAUUCAGAAUUCUAAUCAGAACCAGCAUAACUCUUGUCAGUGUCAGAAGUUAUGGGAUAGGAAUGAAGAAGGGAGAGUGUUGAGGGUAGGAGGUGAAGGGUGUGGAGACUAAACAGAUCUUCUCCAAAGUGUAUUUUGUGGAACAGGAAACUACAUACGGAUACUCUCUCUCUCUGCAAAACAUUUUUGAUCAAAUAAGUUUAAGAAACUUUGGAGAUUAAAAAUAUACAUUAGCAUACAGUAAGUACACAUGUGACAAUACUCAAAAAAAAGGUUCUGAAAACUCCCCAAAAUACAGCAUUUCCCAAACAAUUCUGUCCAGUGGCUUUGUUGAUAAUAUUUGGAAGCAUUGCUGUUAAAGAUUGCAGUUUGGUCUAUGGGAGCCACAUAUGACUUUAUGUCAACAAAAAGCAGGGCAAAAUAUGUCACACUGCUUAGAAGUCACCUUAAUAGAAGAGAGCUCUUCACAUAUUUUAGCCCUAAUUUUGCAAAUGUAAAUGCCUGGGAAUUCCUGCAUACUAAGGACGUCUGCAUUGUCUUUAGUGUUCCUUCACUAAGUGGUCCUCAAGUCUGGCUGCACACUAGAAUUCCCCUGGGGGUCUUUUUAAACAUAAAAAGAGAUUCCGAUUUAUUUGAUUUGGGCUGGGACCUGACUAUCAGCAUUUCGAAAAGUUCUCCUGCAAUUCUAGUGCUGUCAGGGUGAGAAUCACAAAUGUAAAAACAAAUUGCGGGAAUACAUUUUGAGGCCAAUGAAAAUGUUUAGCUGAUAACUAGAAGCUUUUGAUCAGCCUGGUAGGCUGUGGUACGGCCUUUUGUAAAAGGUAUUUGCAAAUGAUAGCAGCUUAGAAAUCCUUUCAUUCAAUGCUAGCUCACCAUCAGCCUUGUUCUCUUCCCUCCUAAUCUUUUUUGUUUUGCUUUAUGUUAGCCCUCUUGUUAUGGUCUCUCCCCACACCCCACCCCAUGCCUUAUAGAAGAGUAUUAGUGUUGUCUCCCUCUCCUUGCUGUGAGGAAUCACUCACAGAUGAAAACAGCUUCAGUGGUCAUGCAGCUGAGGAUAAUUGGAUUUGGUAUCACCAACUGUCUAAAUGCAUACAGGCCAAUAUAAGCUGCUUCACUCUCAGCUACACUUGGGAGGCCAAAAAUAGUAAUUAUCACAGCAGAGAAUCUUAUACUAUUGCACAUGGAGCCAACAGCCCCUCCCAUUCUCACAGCACGCUACCUUUUAUGGGCAAUUUGCUCUCCUCCUAAUUGGACAUUUAGGUGGCACACAACAGCCCAGUCUCUUGUCUCAACUUGUGCAGGCUUUUUUAAUUUACACACAUAGUUUGCACUGGCAUCUAACUUUCUUUUAUUAUUGUCAAACGAUAUCUGACUUUUUUCUUCAUGCAACAACUUAACGUAAGUGUGGAUUAGAGUGUCAACUCCCAACAAUAAGAAACGUAGGACUGGUUUUUAUCUCCUUUUUGGAGGGAGUGAGGGGAGGGCUGCUGUGCAGACAGUGUGCACUGCUGGUUUAGAGAAAAUCUUUAGAGAGUCAUUUUUCAUUUUCCCCAGAUAGUUCUGCAAACACAAAACACUGAAAAUAAAACACAAAAGCUAGUAUCUAUUGAAUGCAUAUGUGAGAAGGAAGACGUGAAGGGAAGUGAAGGAGAGAGAAAGGGAGUGAAGUCUGAAGGAAGGAUAGGGAGAAAAGAGAAAGGUUGGCAUUUGGGAUGAAAUGUGGAGAGCUCAGAUGCCUUUACCUGAAAUCCUGUUACUGAAUAACUUCAUAAAUGCUCUUUUUAAGUUCGUGAAACCUAUAGUCUGACAAUUUUGCUCAAAUACUGAUAAAGUGAUUUAUUUAAAAGUGCUUCUUUCCAGAAAAUCCACAAAAUGGAGUCAAAUGGUCUCUUC